rnacentral:misc_RNA from 1 species
GAUGAAGAACGCAGCGAAAUGCGAUACGUAAUGUGAAUUGCAAAUUCAGUGAAUCAUCGAGUCUUUGAACGCACAUUGCGCCCCCUGGUAUUCCGGGUGGCAUGCCUGUCCGAGCGUCAUUGCUGCCCUCAAGCACGGCUUGUGUGUUGGGCCCCGUCCUCCGAUCCCGGGGGACGGGCCCGAAAGGCAGCGGCGGCACCGCGUCCGGUCCUCGAGCGUAUGGGGCUUUGUCACCCGCUCUGUAGGCCCGGCCGGCGCUUGCCGAUCAACCCAAAUUUUUAUCCAGGUUGACCUCGGAUCAGGUAGGGAUACCCGCUGAACUUAAGCAUAUCAAUAAGCGGAGA